UCUUAUUGUUGUUAAUAUCUAUUGUUAAUUGAAGGAUUGUUUUCUUCUUCGAUUGUUGCGGUAGGUGGCGUUGUUAGUGCGAACGUGAAGAACGAAGCACUGACAUUCGGCACGGCUCGACGUUCCCCACUUUGACGUUUUGUUUACAACCAAAAAUAACGAAUUGAAAUUCCGCUUACAGUAUAAGUACUCGCGUGCGGGAUUUUUAAAAGGGUUGGAGUUUAAAGAAACGUCGUUUACGUAGAUUAACACACGGUAGAAAGAAGUAUGACAAUAGGGGUGUAAAUUAAUUAAGACGAAAGUUUUGAAAUGAAAUAAUAGACAUUGAAUAGAGAAAACGAAUUGAAGCAUCAAAAUUUCCAGGUGUACCCGCACACCAAUAAUUUAUCAAUCCGGACCUAUAGAGUUAAUCGGGAUCUCCUUCUUCCCCACACAGUCGAUGUUCCAGCGCAUCAAACCAAAGGCAUUAAUCUUGUUUACGAACUUUGUGGAAAAGUGCAAAAAGUUCCGGCGAUGGGCAAGACAAAAAGAAAAUAUCGAACAAUAUAAAUGUCUUGUAUCAGAAAACCGCUAUUUUCAUGGGAAACAAUGGCUCUAAUGUUUACGGGAAAACAUUAUUUAGUUUUUUCAGAGUUAUUCUUUGUGUUAUUUUAGUGAAAAUGUCUUUGAAAGUUCUCUUUCGUCCUUAGCCUUAAUGCGAUUUAUCGAAUAAGGACCGAAGUUCACACUCCGGAGACCGUCGGAAAUAAGAUUCGGUUUCUCGGUCUACACUCUCACGCUCUAUCCGAGGUGAUAGAUUCGAAUGCCGCCCUUCUCAGUCGCACCGUUCCGGAAUUCGAGAAACGAGUCUACUGGAAGAUGUGCAAUUGCAACAAUUGGGACGAAUAUUGG
rnacentral:misc_RNA from 1 species